AAUCAACGCUGGCGGCGUGCCUCAGACAUGCAAGUCGAACGAUUAAAGCUCUCUUCGGAGAGUGCAUAGAGUGGCGCACGGGUGAGUAACACGUAAGUAAUCUACCUUCGAGUGGGGAAUAACGUCCGGAAACGGACGCUAAUACCGCAUAAUGCAGCGGCAUCGCAAGAUGACAGGUGUUAAAGAUUUAUCGAUUGAAGAGGAGCUUGCGGCAGAUUAGCUAGUUGGUAAGGUAAUGGCUUACCAAGGCUACGAUCUGUAACCGGUCUUAGAGGACGGUCGGUCACACUGACACUGAAUAACGGGUCAGACUCCUACGGGAGGCAGCAGUCGGGAAUUUUGGGCAAUGGGCGAAAGCCUGACCCAGCAACGCCGCGUGAAGGAUGAAGUAUUUCGGUAUGUAAACUUCGAAAGAAUGGGAAGAAUCAAUGACGGUACCAUUUAUAAGGUCCGGCUAACUACGUGCCAGCCGCCGCGGUAAAAC
rnacentral:rRNA from 1 species